GCAUUUCAUUGCUUUCCAACUGCCCAAGGGAGGAGUCACUAAGUGCAGAGAGAUCAAGAGAACUGUGCUGACACAAACUCACUCCCAGCAGACCAGAUUGUCAUCCCAGCAAAACAGGAGCCCUGGCUGAAAAGACUGCAAACAGGCAUGCUGACACUUAAAUAUUUCCGGGAUGGUCAUGGUGGUGGAGAGAACAGCUAGACUGUCAGUAAAGCUCACCUUUUCUAGUCUGAGGGAGUUAAGCACAUUCCCUAAGGAGAGAACUGACCCACCACUUGUAACACUGUCACAACCUUCAACGUCUCUUAUGUUCUGAUGUCCGCUUUACCUGAAACCUGUCAAGUGUGAGUCACAUCCAUUUCCCUUAUGCCAUGAUGGAGAGGAAUGCUGAUAUGUGGGAACUGACAAAGCAGUACGAGGGAGCUGAUGUUCACCUCUUAAACCUGACGAAAUCUGCUGGUGAAUCAUAGGGUAAGAGCUUGACCUCACCCAUGAAGUUGCGUGAAGAUUAAAAGAACUUCCUUGUACCUCCUUGU
rnacentral:lncRNA from 1 species